CCUUACUCCUACGGGAGGCAGCAGUAGGGAAUCUUCCGCAAUGGACGAAAGUCUGACGGAGCAACGCCGCGUGAGUGAUGAAGGCUUUCGGGUCGUAAAACUCUGUUGUUAGGGAAGAACAAGUGCUAGUUGAAUAAGCUGGCACCUUGACGGUACCUAACCAGAAAGCCACGGCUAACUACGUGCCAGCAGCCGCGAGUAAUAAAA
rnacentral:rRNA from 1 species